rnacentral:rRNA from 1 species
GAUGAACGCUAGCUACAGGCUUAACACAUGCAAGUCGAGGGGUAACGAGAGGAAAGCUUGCUUUCCUUGUUGACGACCGGCGCACGGGUGAGUAACGCGUAUCCAACCUGCCCCCAACUAGGGAAUAACCUUGCGAAAGUAAGACUAAUACCCUAUAAUUUCCUCAGAUGUCAUCUGACGAGGAAUAAAGAUUUAUCGGUUGUGGAUGGGGAUGCGUCUGAUUAGCUUGUUGGCGGGGUAAGGGCCCACCAAGGCAACGAUCAGUAGGGGUUCUGAUGGCACGGUCCCCCACAUUGGAACUGAGACACUGUCCAACCGCCUACGGGAGGCAGCAGUGAGGAAUAUUGGUCAAUGGGCGGAAGCCUGAACCAGCCAAGUAGCGUGCAGGAUGACGGCCCUAUGGGUUGUAAACUGCUUUUAUACAGGAAUAAAGUUAGCCACGUGUGGUUAUUUGUAGGUACUGUAUGAAUAAGGACCGGCUAAUUCCGUGCCAGCCGCCGCCGUAA